CAGAAGUCAGGUCGGAUUAAGCCAUAGUACGGAAAAAACUAUGCUACCUGUGAGCCCCGUCCAAGGACGUUAAAAGAGGUCAGGCCACCACAAGUGCCAUAGCUUGAGUAAACUAUGCAGCCUGUAGCUCCACCUGAGAAGGUGUAAAAAAUCUGGGAGGCCACAAACCAUGGAAGCUGUACGCAUGGCGUAGUGGACUAGCGGUUAGAGGAGACCCCUCCCUCACAAAUCGCAGCAACAAUGGGGGCCCAAGGUGAGAUGAAGCUGUAGUCUCACUGAAAGGACUAGAGGUUAGAGGAGACCCCCCCGAAACAAAAAACAGCAUAUUGACGCUGGGAA
rnacentral:lncRNA from 1 species